rnacentral:misc_RNA from 1 species
AACGCACCUUGCGCUCCUUGGUAUUCCGAGGAGCAUGCCUGUUUGAGUGUCAUUAAUAUAUCAACCUCUUCAGCUUUUGCUUGUUGAGCGUUGGAUGUGGGGGUCUUUUUUUGCUGGUCUUUCCAAGGUCAGCUCCCCUGAAAUGCAUUAGCGGAACAAUUUGUGGACCGUUCAUUGGUGUGAUAACUAUCUACGCUAUUGACGUGAAGCAGUUCAGCUUAUAACAGUCCAUUCACUUGGACAAAUUUUCAUUAAUGUGACCUCAAAUCAGGUAGGACUACCCGCUGAACUUAA